GCACUCGCUUUGGCACCACAUAUACUACAAUUGGAACAAUACAGAGAAGAUUAGCCUGGGCUCUGUGCAAGGAUGACACGCAAAUUCAUGAAGUCUCCCAUAUUUUU
rnacentral:snRNA from 1 species